UAGUAGUAAUGGUCCGUCAUAAU
rnacentral:miRNA from 1 species